rnacentral:rRNA from 1 species
UACGUAGGGGGCAAGCGUUGUCCGGAAUCAUUGGGCGUAAAGCGCGCGUAGGCGGCCCGGUAAGUCCGCUGUGAAAGUCAAAGGCUCAACCUUUGAAUGUCAGCGGAUACUGCCGGGCUAGAGUCCGGAAGAGGCGAGUGGAACUCCUGGUGUAGCGGUGGAAUGCGCAGAUAUCAGGAGGAACACCUAUGGCGAAGGCAGCUCGCUGGGACGUUACUGACGCUGAGACGCGAAAGCGUGGGGAUCAAACAGG